UACGAAGGGGGCUAGCGUUGCUCGGAAUCACUGGGCGUAAAGGGUGCGUAGGCGGGUUUUUAAGUCAGGGGUGAAAUCCUGGAGCUCAACUCCAGAACUGCCUUUGAUACUGAAGAUCUUGAGUUCGGGAGAGGUGAGUGGAACUGCGAGUGUAGGGGUGAAAUUCGUAGAUAUUCGCAAGAACACCAGUGGCGAAGGCGGCUCACUGGCCCGAUACUGACGCUGAGGCACGAAAGCGUGGGGAGCAAACAGG
rnacentral:rRNA from 1 species